GUAGGGGAACCUGCGGCUGGAUCACCUCCUUUCUAAGGAUGGUUCUUCAGAAGCCUGCUUCUAUCGAACCGUUUUAGAAACAUCAGUGGCCAACAGAUCGCCAGAUCGUUGAGCUGCAUUGGCGGGAUUUCGCCGUCUUCGUUUCUCUUUCUUCGCGGACGAACACGCGCUGGGGCUGCAGGCUUGCAGAUCCCUGGUCCUUGACUGGAUAUGCGUUAGGGGCUUGUAGCUCAGUUGGUUAGAGCGCGCGCUUGAUAAGCGUGAGGUCGGAAGUUCAAGUCUUCCCAGGCCCACCACUUUCAUCGAGUGAGCAUUCGUCUUCUGGUUACGGGGCCAUAGCUCAGCUGGGAGAGCGCGUGCUUUGCAAGCAUGAGGUCGUCGGUUCGAUCCCGUCUGGCUCCACCAGAUGGUUUGAUCACCGAGAUCUUGCACCGUCGUCCGCGAAACAUCACUUCGCACUUGCUAGUCCGGAUGGACAGUAAGCUGCGUGAUUUCUGACAUCGUAAAGAGGAGAUCGAUCCGAGUUGGAUCGUGCGGAGAAUAUCCGCGCGAGACUUCAUUAUCUCCGGAUCAUUUCGGCGCUCGCGCACCUUUCAGUGUGGCUCACAAGGCUGCGUCUGAAGGAGCUGCGAGUUGUGAAUGAUCCUUUUAGCGAAGCUUGACCGCCUCGCUAUCGGAACGAUCUUACGAAGCAAGCUGGUCUUUCUAGUCAAUGUCCGGCUGUAGAUAGCGUUCAUCGAGGGCGCGUGCCGCAAGGCAAUUCUGCAGACAACAUUCUGCCGAGUGUGUGGACAUUGAUAAUGAGAGC
rnacentral:tRNA from 1 species